GUUCGGUCGCUUUCGGGCGGAUUCGGGCACUGCCCGUUCGGGCUUCUCCGUUCGGGCCGGCGAAGGGGAAUUCGGGCGCGAUCGGAGAGGACUCGGCACAGCUCGGCUUUCCUCGCGCCCGUCUCACCCGCCUUCGGGCGCGAUCGGAAAAGACUCGAGCGAGCUCGGGAUUCUUCGACCCUCUGGGCCGGACCGCUCGGGGACUCGGCCCUGUUCGGGCGGGCUCGGCUUCCCCACCCGAUCUGUCAGGUAUCGCUUCGGGCCGCGUUUCUACGGACUCGGCCGGGCUCGGCUGCGUCCUGCCUUGGGAUUGGCCAGCCGGCAGGAAACGCGGGCCCCGCUCGUCGGGAACCAUCAAUCGCCUUCGAACGAGGCCUGGAAAGACUCGGGACACUUCGGGCACCAUCGGAAGCGGUUCGGAAGCGCUCGAUUCCGCCCGGGGAACACGUUCGGAAGGGCUCGGGCGAGCUCGGCACCGCUCGGCGACCCGCCGAAAAGCGCUCGAGUGACCUCGGAGGACCGGGCCCCCCCACCCGGCGGCCCCCGCCCCCCCCCCCCCCCGCCGGACCCUCCUCAGCGGCGUUCGCGGGGGGAGCGGCGGGUGUUGGGGCCCGCUCGCCGGGCUCGGCUCCCCCCGCCCGCCUCGGAUGGAGGACGCCGACUCGGCGGCGAAACAGCUGGGCUUAGCGGAGGCGGCGGCAGUGGCGGCGGCAGCCGCAGUGGCGGCGGCCGCGGAAGGACCCGAGCAGCAGCAGCAGCAGCCGCCGCAAGCGGCAGCCUCGGAGUCGGAGGCGGAGCCCGAGGAGGAGGAGGAGGAGGAGGCGGCGGCGCAGGUGACGGCGGUGACGGUGAUGGCGACAGAUGCCGAGCACAUCGAGAUGGGAGCCGAGCCCCUGCCGAGCGCCGACGAGGCCGCCGCCGCCUUCGCAGAAGUCACCACAGUGACAGUAGCCAACGUUGGUGCCUCCGCAGACAAUGUUUUCACUACAUCUGUGGCAAACGCAGCUUCAAUUUCAGGACACGUGUUGUCUGGGAGAACGGCCCUCCAAAUUGGGGACAGCUUGAAUACUGAAAAAGCCACUCUCAUAGUGGUUCACACAGACGGCAGCAUUGUAGAGACCACAGGGUUGAAGGGGCCAUCAGCACCUCUCACACCAGGACCGCAAUCUCCUCCUACCCCAUUAACAUCUGUCCAAGAAAAAACUGGAACCAAGUAUAACUGGGACCCAUCUGUCUAUGAGAACGAGCUCCCGGUGAGGUGCCGGAAUAUCAGUGGCAUUCUGUAUAAAAACAGACUCGGCUCAGGAGGCCGUGGUAGGUGCAUUAAGCAAGGGGACAACUGGUACAGCCCCACUGAAUUUGAAGCUAUGGCGGGACGAGCCAGCAGCAAAGACUGGAAGAGGAGCAUCCGCUAUGCUGGAAGGCCACUGCAGUGCCUUAUUCACGACGGGAUAUUAAAUCCUCAUGCUGCCUCUUGUACUUGUGCUGCCUGCUGCGACGACAUGACUUUGAGUGGCCCUGUACGACUCUUUGUACCGUAUAAAAGGCGGAAAAAAGAAAAUGAAAUGCCUGCAACUCCAGUGAAGAAGGAUUGCCCCAAAAACAUCACUCUGCUUCCUGCCACAGCUGCUACUACAUUCACCGUGACUCCUUCUGGACAGAUCACUACCUCCGGUGCUCUGACAUUUGACCGUGCAUCGACAGUGGAAGCCACCGCAAUUAUCUCGGAAAGUCCGUCCCAGGGUGAUGUUUUCACUGGAGCUGCGGUUCAAGAUACCAAUGUCCAGCAGCCUUGCCGGGUCAGUCACCCAGAACCUCACUAUCCAAGUUACCAGGACAACUGUCAGAUUUCACCUUUUCCUGAAGCUGCACUGCCAACAUCUCAUCCCAAAAUUGUGUUAACCUCUCUCCCUGCCCUGGCGGUGCCCCCCACGACCCCCACCAAAGCCAUAUCCCCUUCGGUGGUGAAUGGGCUGGAGGUGACGGAGCAGCGGAGCUGGCUGUACUUGGAAGAGAUGGUCAAUUCAUUGCUCAACACCGCCCAGCAGCUGAAGACUCUCAUUGAACAGGCCAAACAGGCCAGCUCCUCUUUCCGCGAGGCUGCUGUCACACAAGCAAAAAUCCAAGCUGAUGUGGAGAGGAAAGAGGCACGAGUGUGCAGCAAGAGACCUUGAAGAAAUGUGUGUGGGAAGACUUUGCUGAGAACUGAGAACCCCUAUGACAGUCCUUGCAGCGUCUUUGAUAUUCUUUGCCACGUUGUCUCUGCUAAACUCUUCUGUACGCUGCAUCCUUGAUGUGCAGUGGUUUCUGGAACGGUUGUUCAGAGUCCAUUCCUCUCACCCUCUGAUCCAAAUCCAGCCCACUUCAGUGGACUUCUAGUUUCUUCUUGCCCCAGGAAUGGGAGUUAAAAUCACUCCUGUAUAUUGAUUAAAGUGUUGACUUUACAAGGCAAGGAUGAGCACGUGUGUGUUUCCAGAGGAAGCCCCUUUCCCAGUAACUACUGAAUGCCCAGUUAUACAACUUGUGUGUCUUACCGUUCUUAUCAUGUAACGGGUACCUCAACAGUUCUGUAUUUUGAUAAAAACACUUGCUCACAGUGGUAUUUUUUUAAUAUCCAAAUAACAAUUCUCAAGCUUGCGGCUGUGUGCUAGCUUCUGGAACCAUCUGGGCGAUAUCGCAAGUACCUAUUUCUGAAUUUCUUCUAGUGAAUUCCAUAUUUGGAAAAAACUCUGGGUUUCUGGGUACAGGGCUGGCAUUGGAAGUAAUUACAAUAAAUGUCAAAUAAUUGGCUGUCUACUUUUGUGUUGGUCAAAAGUGCUUUUCCAAUUUCAUGAAUGUUUCCCUGAUUUGUUACACAACUCUCUUUCCCACCCUAAGUAUGUGUGUGGUCAAACUGCUUUUUUUGACAGUUAAGAUACAUAAGAGCGAGAAAGAGGUGUCUGCCUUCCUACCUUGGUGUUGAUUUUUGCUGGAAAGGAAGCAGGUGCUUUAUCACCCCUUUGUGUUUGUUACACUGAAUGAACUUCCAAGGGCUAACAAACGGGGGAACCUUCUCGCCACCUCCUCCAUUUGCACGAGCGGGGAUGGUGAAUGCAGCAGUGUGGGCAGUUCUCUGCGGGAGAGCCACCAGUUUGCCAAAUUUCUGUGCUGCAGUACGUUCCUAGGUAUUUAGAAGUGAAAGAUUGUGUCAUUGUAUCAGAGCUGCGGAGCAGAGGCUGUACAACAGAUUAAAUUAUAAUAGAGCUGUAGACUCAGCUCUUCCUGGAAGAGUGACUUAAUACAUAGCAGGAUUAAAGAAAUCUGUUAGGAGCAGGCUGGUUCCCAACUGGAUGCACAAACUUCAUUGCCGUGACUGUAACUAACGCGUAUCUUCAGUUUUCACAGCGGUGCAGAGCUAUUCCUCCAGUUUAAUGUUCCAGCUCUUGAGGCUGUUGAGUUCAAGCACUUUUGGUCUUGUAACUGUCCGUAUCCCUGACCGUAUCGCUCUGUCACCCAUACUGAACAGGGAGAGGGCCUCUGCCUUCCGACAAGAGCAAGACAGAGCGCUUGGGAUAGCACUGUCUUUACCUGCCCUUUAGAGGAAAUCUGAAGUGGCCUCGAGUUUAAGCAGAGUAGAGGAGAAGUGGCAUGAACAGCAAACACAUAGGAAAACUUAUUUGUGUGCUAGUUUUGUUUCAGUCUUCCUAGAGAGCAAUAAAUUAAGCAUGAAGAAUUUUUAAUUACGGUUUAUAUGCCUUGUACGUUGCAAAUCACUCACUAUAUUGUGUUUCACUUAUUAUACUUAUUGUUUAAUGAGCUUUGGAGUUCAUUAAAUAUCACAAAUGAGCCAUUCUGCUUCCAUAUUGCAGCACUUUAGUUGACUUAGCUUUAAAUACCAGAAGUUGUCCUCUAUUCUGAGCAGUGGUAAGUGCUUGUGGGAUUUACAGAGCUCUGAACUGUGAAAGCCAGGCUUUUGCUCUGAGUUUCCUUUGAGCAGGGGAGGCGUUUGUGCUGCCUGUCCACUUACGUUCUUAUCUGUGAAGUCAAAGAGCGGACAUCACUGUUUCAUUCUGGUCACACUUGCUAAUGGUAUUAUCCAGGACUAUUCAAAGGAGUCUUAGGAAUACAUUAUUCCCCUCGUUUGUAUCGUUUUGAAGGUGGAAAUGCCAACAUCAGAGACGAAUUGUGGUAGGAAGGGGAUCUGCUAAAUGUAGCGAGUGGAAACCAUAAAAAAUUAUAAGUGCAGCAUAAAUUAGAAGCAUCUACAGUCACGUUUCUUCCUUAAGAUGGCAUGUCUAAUCUGAAUUUUUCAUGAGGAUUGGAUCCGUAAUUGCAGUUCCAAACACAUGGCGAUACCUAGAGUCCUUAAAAACAACAGGGGGGCUGGACUGGGAAAUGCUGAGCGUUUAGGCAUCAGGCUGUACAGUAGUGCAAUAUAAAUGCCAGUCUUCAUAGGCAGUUAGAGAAAAUAUGGAAAAAUGCACUUGUCUUCCCUCUUUUCUCAUGUCUGACAUGAGGUUUUUUUCACUCUGCCUCCCUGCUGGUACGAUUACAGCCAUAGAAUGCCCUGUGGCAGGGUCUGGUGACAUUCUUGGCUGUUCUAAAGAAACUAUAGGUCAGAUUCCCAGUGCUGGAGCUAAAGGCUUCACCAACAGAGCUUUUCUUGCACAUAAUUUUGUAAUUUGGAACUCCUCGUGUGCACUCUGUUGCGAUCUUUGUCCUUUUUUGGUAAAUUUGUUUAAGGUUUGUGGCUUGCUGGGCAAAUUUCAAGACUGAGGAUCUCUUCCAAAUUUUGUUUCCAUCUUCGCCACGGGUUAUUUUGAUGCCCCUGGGUAAGUCCUAGGCCUCUCUGGGCUUCAGAGCCUGCUCUUUGAAAUAAGGAUAAUGCUUCCUUCACAGAGGCCUUGCAUACUAGUUUGAAAAGUGACAGGAUCUCUGGGUAAAAGGCUGUGUAAAAAAGCGUUAACCUUCUAAGUCCUAGAAAUAAGGACAAUUUGUAAACCCGAAAUCUACAAUUGCAGCAUUUAUGAGAAUACCUAUUUUGCAAUCAUGUCUUUUGAAACAAAAUUGUUCUAGAGUCUAAGAAAGCAGUUAAAAAUACCUUUCCUGUUGUGUAUGCUGUCUGCAGUAUCUCAUGUGCCUGAUGAGAACUCCAUAAUUAAUAAGCAGAGCCCUCCAGAGUUAGUUUCAGGCCUGAAGCUGUUUAAGAAACGGUGAUGGCCAUAAGCCUUGUGCUUUCUGUGUGUAAACGGGCACAUGUGCAGCUGGUGCUCAGCUUGCGCACAGCUUUGUAGUGGCAAACAUCAAAUACAAGUUACCUUUAUGUUGCACAGAAGUCCUGGGGAAUGACAUUCUGAAAGAAAAGCAAACUGUAAACCCUCCAGGUCAGCGUUUAUAUUAACUUCUAAAAUGUGUCAUGCUUAUUGCAAGAAAAUAUCAAAAUAUUUGUAAGUUUUUUCUGAAUUGCAGCAUUUUGCACGGGAUUCAUUACAUACAACUGCUCUGUCAGAACUUCAUACAGCGGUUAAGAGAAAGUUCUCCGCUGUUAAUUAGCUUGUGACUGAGUGUAUCUGAUCCUUUGGUUACUCUCUGAAUGUUGGGUUUACUGCAUUUUUUGAUUUAGGGAAAAACAUUUAGGAAGAGAGUAAGUGGGGCAACGAAGGCUCAGUGUCUCGUACAAGAGAUAUUUGACAACUUGCAGGACUGGCCCAAAAGGAAUGGAUUAAAGACAGCACUUUACACAGAGGUCUGCGUGCUUUGGCAAUGUAAUUUUUCUGAGUGUGCAUUAAGCCAUCGUUUAUAUCAGAUAAACUUUAGGAGGGGUAGAAUACAUGAACUCACCAAAUUCUGCGUCAGAAGACAUUGCUGGAAGAUAAUAAAGAUAUUCAGGAAAUGCGUUAAACAGUUUUUCUGUAUAAAUUUAAAAAGAAUCGGUGUUGAAAUCUGACCAGUGUUUUAAUUUAAAUAGCCUUCUUUGUGUAAUGCAGUGAUGCCUUCAGAGCCCAGCCCAUUUGAAAACAAGGUGGAAGAUUAAAUCAGCUAACAGCUGGACCAUCUAAAUUCUUUUUUAGAAAGAUUAAAACAGUUCAGGGCUAGAGAGUAUGAAAUUAACCUAAAAAGGGUCAGGCAUUUAAGAAAUGUAGCUCUAGUAAGCAAAUCAUGUUUGUGUACUCCCGAGCAGCAGUGAAAACAGUUGAGAAUUGGAGGUUAUCAGUUUUCUGGAGCUGGUUUUUUGAGAGAUCUGGUUGUGUCUGGCUUGAUCCUCCCUCUUAUCACACCUUUCCCUUCUCCAUAGUUUCUGAAUGGCUCCAAUUCUUCACACCAUGGGCUGUGCAGAACCAGAGGACUCACUGUGCAGACAGAUAAAAAGGAGACAGAAGGAGGUUAAACGUGUGGUUUCCAUCAGCAGGUUUCGGGGGCUGAGAGCAGAGGUGGAGGAGCUGCUGUGGCUCAGACCAGGACAGAGGUGGCUGGGCUUCCUCUUGAUCUCUUUCUCAUUGGCGAUCUCCCUGGGAAACAGGAUUAGCCGCACUUGCAGAGGAUGAGGUGGCGUCUGGUGGUGGGAAAGGUUUUAAUUCUGGAGCUGCAGCACUUUUGCAGAACCAGAAUUCGGUGCGUUCAGCCCUGGCGCUGUCUCUGCUGUUGCGGAGGGGAUGGUGCCAGCUGGGAUUAUGUGCGCAAAGGUUUUCAAGCUGGGUUGAAAUGCCAGCUCACCGCACGCUUUGGCAUCUGUAUUCCCACUUUCUUCACUAAAACGAAGUUUAGAAACAUUACGCAGUUUUCCUAGCCCAGUACUCUUAACGUGGGUCAUCUGUCUUUCGGUUAACAAUGGAAAACUAAUUUUAACCUUUUCUGAAGAAUCCACAGUUUCCUGCCAGCCCGGUUCUCUGCCUGUGUGCAGAGUGGCAGAGGGCAGAGGCUGCAGCACGAGGCGUUGAGUCCCAUCUUCUCCACAACCGGUGCUCACCGAUGUUCAUAAUUCUCUCAAGACUUAUGGUCAUUUUCUUCCUGAGACAUGGCAGGAUUGAUUCUUACACCUGAGGCCACAUCUCAAGCUUGCCGGUGUAUUCCCUGUCUUCACAAGAAUGCUUGUGGCUUGGACACAAUUUUGGUUUUCAAAAUGGUACUUUUGAAAUGUCCGUACACAUGAUGCCCACUUUGCCCAUGCAGUACUGGAAGCACUGGGGAUGCCGUGCGUGUGUCCUGUCUUGCUAAUUAGCCUGGUCUCACCUCUUCAUCAAAUAAUGGCAGAACCCAAUCACACCCCUUGCAGUGGUUUCCCUGCCGCCUCCUUCAUCUCCCUGGAGUUUUUUAUUUUGAAUUUGUGUCAUGGUAAUAUAAAGGUUUUGAAGGUUGUGAUUUCACAGGAGAAUAAAUACUGUGAUGUCAGGUCAUAGAGACACUUGUAAAUUAAGCCUUUAAUCUCCUUAUAUGUUGGGUCAUAGUCACCCCUGGAUAAACCUGCUUUGCCUGAAGGUGGGGGUUUGGCUUUUUUCUUGCUUUUUAACUGUUCCAAAUAAAUUUAAGUCAGGGUUAGCACACAAGCCAGGAUCGGUUUGGAAUUCCUUUGGUUUAGGACUCCUGUCUCAGCAGCAUUGGCUGCUGAGCGUGGCAAGGCAGUAGGUGGAGUGGCACCUGGUUGGACUGAACUGGUUUGGAGUAAAUCUGCAACACACCCAAAGUGUGCUUUAAAAGUCACCUCCAGAGGACUGCUUAAUUCAAAAACUGUUUGAAAACCCUUUUAUGUCUAUUAAAAGGAGGAAUAAUGGUUAUGGUUGAUGCUGUUUCUAAAGCCUUGGGUGUGUUCAUUUUGUCUGUAGUUUUUUUCCUAAUCCAUUCUGUUGGGCUAUGCCAUCCCCCCAGACUCCUUUUGCGUGUUAGUGGAUUAGGAUCACUGGACUUGGCCCAAAAUUUGGCCCAAGAAGGUGGUACUUGGCCCUAUUACCUUGGCAUUUUCCUCCUGUUUCCUUUGCUAACUUCUUAGGUACUCGUGUGGUGAGAAGGAAUGCUUGGCUGGAUGGAGUGGGGAGAGUGGGGUUUGAGUAAAUGCUGUACUUAACUGGCAGUUUGUCACCUCGGGCCGUUUUCUCACAGGCUUCUUCAUCUGUCUCCACGUAAGGUCAUCGUGUCCCUCUCUUAGAAGGGAGGAGCGAGGGUCCCCUCUGUCCUCUUGCAACUGCAGUUUUGGGCUUGACAGAAGCAAGCUCAGUGUCAGGGCUCUCCGUACAGAGCACCCCGUUCAACCCCUCACGUCAUAUUCUGGCUGUGAAAUGACAAGUCU